AUUGAACGCUGGCGGCGUGCUUAACACAUGCAAGUCGAUCGGUAACAGGUGUAGCAAUACAUGCUGACGAGAGGCGGACGGGUGAGGAAUAUUUGGGAAUCUGCCCAUCAGCGGGGGACAACCGGGGGAAACCCGGGCUAAUACCGCAUACGCUCUACGGAGGAAAGCCGGGGACCGCAAGGCCUGGCACUGAUGGAUGAGCCCAAGUCGGAUUAGCUAGUUGGCGGGGUAACGGCCCACCAAGGCGACGAUCCGUAGCUGGUCUGAGAGGACGAUCAGCCGCACCGGAACUGAGACACGGUCCGGACUCCUACGGGAGGCAGCAGUGGGGAAUAUUGGACAAUGGGGGAAACCCUGAUCCAGCGACGCCGCGUGGGUGAAGAAGGCCUGCGGGUUGUAAAGCCCUUUCGGUAGGGACGAAAGCUCUUGCUCUAAUAAUGCAAGAGGUUGACUUAACCUACAUAAGAAGCACCGGCUAACUCUGUGCCAGCCGCCGCCGUAA
rnacentral:rRNA from 1 species